UCCUUGCAUCAUUGUUUUAGAACACUUGACCUUAAAACUUUAAAAUAUUCUUUAGAUUUAAGAAGAACACAAACACAAAUAACCAAAGUCAUCUGCAUCUAGACCAUAUUUAUCCAUUGUACAGAUCUUUACUUACAGAACAUAAUUAGCAGCAGCUUUUGAGACCAGGGUAGAAGAGAAGAAUUGGGCACCUAACAAUUCAAAUUAGCAGGAAACCUGUAUGGCAUAUGCUUCUCUAGCAUAUACUUCUCAAUGCAACCGGAGUUGUAUUCCCCCCCUCAAAAGUAAGGCAUCUUUCGUAAAACAACAGGCAAAUAAAAAACAAAUAAAGACAAAUAAAGAGAAUUACCACAACAGAAAGAGGCAGCAGUGCUUGAACCACAUACACUGCUGACAGGCCAUCUGUAAUUCAAGUCUGCAUUGAAUCUAAAAUCCAAUUAAUGCAAUUGUUCAUUGGUUUGUUUAUUUGGGGAGGAGGUUUUGUGUGCUUAUUUUUGGUAGAGGUCCUUAGAUAAACAAUAUGUUCAGUGUGUUCUUAAAAUGAGAUUUUCCUUUCUCCCACUAAUCUUCCUACAAGAUGGGACAACUCCCCUCCUACAGGCAAACUGGCCAGCAACAUCCACUUGUAUCUUAAAAAUUAAAUUUCAUUUUCAAUCCUACACAAAUGUUUACAAGCUGUCACCCAAUAACUUAUCACGUAAUGUACAGCAAACUAUAAUCAAACAUCAAAAGAAUCUGUCUGGAAUUAAUUUGUGACUUCUCUAAAAUAAUAACUUUCAUGCAAUGCCUGGCAUGUGGAGCACAAAUUAGCCUGAAAUAAGUAAAUACACGCUAAUGUGGGAUUGAGGAAAUUGUUUCUGAAGCAGAUUUUUCACUUGUUAAGCUAUAGACUCAUACCCACUAAUGAAGAAAAAAUAUUAUGGACAACUACAUAUUCAUCUUAAAGAUCUGCUGAUGUUGGACAUUAGGAAAACAAAAUAUAUUGAAAUAGAGAUGAUUUACAUAUACAAAGACCAUUUGUAAAUUUUUGCACGACAUUAAAGUUUUUUGUGGUACAAAAAGAACAAAUCACUUGGGAGGAAAAAGUGCAAACAAGAAGGAAUCUUUGCUGAAGCCAAGCAUGGAAUAGAGAAAGUAACCAGACUAAAUCUCUCUUUCAGAAUAUUAAGAAUCAUUUAGCUAGAGACCAGCGUCAAACUGAACUACCCCGUAUUUCCCACUUACCAUCCACUCGGGUUCAGAAGCCUGAAUUUGUUCACCUUGUCCAGGUUUUAGGCCAACCUGAGUGUCAGAUUUCAGUGUUCUCAAACUACAGAGAGGCGCAGGAUGAAACUUGUUCAAGGCUUGAUGAAACGGGACACUAUAUUCCCAUUUUCUAUCUCCUGUUAAUUUUCUGUAGUUUAGA